rnacentral:lncRNA from 1 species
AAUAGAUUAAAAAACGUCUAAGUUGGUUUAUUAUAUUUGUUUAAAGUGGUCAUCCUUUUUUUUUCCAGAUGUUUAUCGUUAUCUCAUGUCUUGUAAAAACGUCUAAGUUGGUUGUGUUAAACACAUUUACGGGUGUAAUUGCUUCUUGACCAAAAUUGAAUGACACGCUGAGGUCAAUUGAGGUGUAAAUUUUAAAAAUAAAAGUUAAUGAUAUAGAAAAGUUAUUCUUAAUAAAUUCUCAUAUUUUUCUUGCUAAACCCAAACCAUCAAUGGAAACCCCAAACCAAACCACCAUCACCGGAAAACCACAAACCACAACCAUCACCCUCCAAACCAAAAAAAUUACUCAAUCCUAAAUCAAAACCCUAGUCCCACAUUACGAGUUCAAAACAUGUAGAGAAGAAUCAAGAACAGAAAUUUCAAAUAACAUAACCCAAAUCAAAACACUAGCUCCAAAUCACGAGAUCCAAACUUAUAGAGCAGAAUAAAAAAGGGUUAAAUAUGUUUUUCGUCCCUUAAGUAUUGUUAAGUCCCUGGCAAGUGUACCAGAUCGUUAUCAAGUAAUAUAAACGGGUAAGUCCGAGUAUCGUUUUCCCAAAGGACUCUUAGGCCUUAACUUUCGUGUAACCUAAUCGCAUAAGACUUGAGAAGAGAAUAAAUUUAGUGGUUAUAUGCAAAGAACAAAAAUAAACAUGCAAUGUAGUUGAUUCAAUUGGUUUUAAGAAACUAUGAAUGAAUGGUGUUGUUUGGGUUUACAAUUUCAUCUUAUCCACUCUCAUAUAUCUACUCUUCUUAUUUACUUCACUUAUUUAUCUAAUUGCCAUGCANACUUUCUUAUUUACCCUUAACCCAAUCCCUUGGUGAAAAAAGCCUAUUAUUAAUUACCGGCUUGCUAUCCCUAGCCUCCCCUAGUAACCAAUAAUGCAAUGCGAUCUGAAGCAAAUACAAUUGACCGUCCUACCCUAUCCCUAGGCGAUAUUUGCAUAAUAAAGGAAUUUCCCAC